ensembl:piRNA 21ur-4049 ncRNA
UGGUCCUUGGCUAUAGCCGGC